rnacentral:rRNA from 1 species
AUUGAACGCUGGCGGCAUGCUUUACACAUGCAAGUCGAACGGGGUGAAGGGGCAACUCUUCAUUCAGUGGCGAACGGGUGAGUAAUGCAUCGGAACGUACCUCGUAGUGGGGGAUAACUCGGCGAAAGCCGUGCUAAUACCGCAUAUGCUCUACGGAGGAAAGCAGGGGACCUGAGAGGGCCUUGUGCUAUGGGAGCGGCCGAUGUCCGAUUAGCUAGUUGGUGGGGUAANGGCCUACCAAGGCGACGAUCGGUAGCUGGUCUGAGAGGAUGAUCAGCCACACUGGGACUGAGACACGGCCCAGACUCCUACGGGAGGCAGCAGUGGGGAAUUUUGGACAAUGGGGGCAACCCUGAUCCAGCCAUGCCGCGUGCGGGAAGAAGGCCUGGUU